AUUGAACGCUGGCGGCAUGCUUUACACAUGCAAGUCGAACGGUAACAGGUUAAGCUGACGAGUGGCGAACGGGUGAGUAAUGCAUCGGAACGUGCCCGAUCGUGGGGGAUAACGCAGCGAAAGCUGCGCUAAUACCGCAUACGAUCUGAGGAUGAAAGCGGGGGACCGUAAGGCCUCGCGCGAUCGGAGCGGCCGAUGUCAGGAUUAGGUAGUUGGUGGGGUAAAGGCCCACCAAGCCGACGAUCUGUAGCUGGUCUGAGAGGACGACCAGCCACACUGGGACUGAGACACGGCCCAGACUCCUACGGGAGGCAGCAGUGGGGAAUUUUGGACAAUGGGCGAAAGCCUGAUCCAGCAAUGCCGCGUGCAGGAAGAAGGCUUUCGGGUUGUAAACUGCUUUUGUACGGAGCGAAAAGGUCCUUUCUAAUACAAGGGGCUCAUGACGGUACCGUAAGAAUAAGCACCGGCUAACUACGUGCCAGCAGCCGCAGUAA
rnacentral:rRNA from 1 species